GCAUAUCAAUAAGCGGAGGAAAAGAAAAUACAAUGAUUUCCCUAGUAACGGCGAGUGAAGAGGAAAGAGCUCAAAGUUGGAACCUGUUUGGCUUAGCUAAACCGGAUUGUAAACUGUAGAAGUGUUUUCCAGACACGCCUGGUAAAAAAGUCCUUUGGAACAGGGCAUCAUAGAGGGUGAGAAUCCCGUCAUUGGCCAGAGCUGUUGUCUUUUGUGAUACAUUUUCAAAGAGUCAGGUUGUUUGGGAAUGCAGCCUAAAUUGGGUGGUAAAUCUCACCUAAAGCUAAAUAUUUGCGAGAGACCGAUAGCGAACAAGUACCGUGAGGGAAAGAUGAAAAGAACUUUGAAAAGAGAGUUAAACAGUAUGUGAAAUUGUUAAAAGGGAACCGUUUGGAGCCAGACUGGCUUAACUGUAAUCAAUCUAGGCUUUGGCCUGGAUGCACUUGCGGUUUAUGCCGGCCAACGACAGUUUUGUUUGAGGGAAAAAAUUACAUUGAAUGUGGCCCUUCGGGGUGUUAUAGCUUUGUAAAAAAUACCUUGGACUGGACUGAGGAACGCAGUGAAUGCCUUUAGGCAAGAUUGCUGGGUGCUUUCGCUAAUAAAUGCUAGAAUUUCUGCUUCGGGUGGUGCUAGUGUUUAAAGGAGGAACUCGCUUAGUAUAUUUUUUAUUCGCUUAGGUUGUUGGCUUAAUGACUCUAAAUGACCCGUCUUGAAACACGGACCAAGGAGUCCACCAUAAGUGCGAGUAUUUGGGUGACAAACCCAUAUGCGCAAGGAAACUGAUUGAUACGAAGGCUUUAAGCUGGCAGUAUCACCCGGCGUUGACGUUUUAUACUGAACUGACCGAGGUAAAGCACUUAUGAUGGGACCCGAAAGAUGGUGAACUAUGCCUGAAUAGGGUGAAGCCGGAGGAAACUCCGGUGGAGGCUCGUAGCGAUUCUGACGUGCAAAUCGAUCGUCAAAUUUGGGUAUAGGGGCGAAAGACUAAUCGAACCAUCUAGUAGCUGGUUCCUGCCGA
rnacentral:rRNA from 1 species